AAAACGUCCUGUGUUCUUUCUGGCAGGGAGCGUCACAGAGCACAACACCGCCCGCACUGGACAACCAGUUUACAUCGAUGCUGCAGAAAGUCAAGAACAAUAUAACAGGGGUCCGGCAGAAAUCCAGCUGACCCGGAGUGCUAUUGGGCUGACCCAGCAAGAUACAUGGGCUAAGUCGAAGCAGGGUCUCUGCAGACUGGCCUUUAGUUCUUUUUCGUUGAAAAUGGACUCCCACUGGCCUGCUUUUGGUUUUGCAUGUUCCAUUAUGUGCUUUGCCCCCCAUACUAUCACACCACAAUACUAAUAAUAAUGACCCUGAAUGAAAAUCUCCACACUGGACCAAUUUCCAAACUCCUAAAGGAACAUCUCAGUAUGAGUUUGGUUAUUGAGUUGCAAAAGAUGAAAAUCCUCAGAAAAUAACUUCUCAAGGCAAUGCUUGUCAGUUCACAAUAAUAGCAUGAUGCCACCCACACAAAUACAAAGCUAAUCUGUCUGCAAGACAGAUGCGCCUUCCCUUUUUAUUUAAGUGCAUUAAACUUGGAUGCAGCUACUGUAUUGUUUUGAAUCCAGCAGCGGCAUGUAGGUAGCAAAAUUCAAUCAGUGGCUCUCUCUACUAAGAACACCUGGCGAGGGGACAAUCAUCACGCUGAGGGCCUGUGCAGAUCCCGCCAGCAAGAGGCUGCAAAUCAAAGCAUCGGAGGUGUUUCAUCUCUUUUCUGGAGUCUCAGUUUUUCAUCCGGGGUUAAGACUGAAAGGAUGACACUUAUGGCUCCUCACAUCUACAGCCAUGAGGUAGGGAGCAUCAGGCAUUAGAAGCCCAUGACUCUGAUUACUACAAAACACUUGUUUUCACACUAUGUUCACAGCAGCGUUUUUUUAAUAUUCCCACUGGGAGUGAUUCCUGAAACUGUCGGACAGGGUGGAAGCUGCCUCGGGUGCUGACAGAGAAUGUAAAUAGUGGUGGUGGCAUAAUAGAAAAUACUGAAUAGAAUUGACUGCUAAUUGAAGUCUUUCGUCUGACAUGGCAGACUGUGUGAAUACAGAUUACCAGCAGUUGGAAGCAGGGCUGCUGUUAGAAUACCAAUUUCUCUCACCAGGCGUUUUUACCGUUUAUUUAGAACAUUUCCAUGUUGGAUGGCUCAACUAGUAGACAUGAAAAUUUCAUCAUGAAAUAUAUGCUGGCUGACAGAUGAAAUGGGACCCACAUGGUAUUUAGAACUGUGACACUCUUGAACUGUUGAACUUCACCUCUGACAGCUGCAGACUGAUGCUUUUGUAAGGAGACAAACGCAUCAUUUACAGUAAAGCAUAAGCUUUGUUUUUUAUUUGCUAAGCUUUCAAUGUUUAUUCUUAAUCCCUUUUUUGUUUUAUUAAAGGCCCGCAAAA